rnacentral:lncRNA from 1 species
CCCCAUUGACUGAUGGUUGUCAUGGAUAGUGACUCUGGAGUUAUGCAUAAUUAAACGCCUCUUGCCAGGCGUUAAGUACUGAUCUUGUGAAGCACUACUUCUGCUUCAAAAUCAGACUUUACCUCUUUUUCUAGCUGCUAUUUAUAGUGUACGCCAUUCAUUUUUGUUUCUGAUGGAUAACUGAAAAAUCGUCUUGAUGAAGGUAAAAGACUUGUGAGAUUAUCUAAUUUCGUCUUGAUGCUCAAGUCAUCCUUGAGCUGAACUGCCUCUUGAUGAAUGUAGAUUGCCAGUCAUUCUUCUGAUUACCGGAAUUGUACUCGUCCAGUCACCCUUGAGCUGAACUGCCAGAAUGUUUAGUGAUAUGCUGAUGAAUGGUACAAACUUGAGCUGUCUGCGCUGAUUGUUUUGUUUGAGUGGCAAGCUGGUUUUGUGUAAAUGAUGGUGUGUCAUCUUGGCUUAUGGUGCAUGAACAAAGUUCACGUCUAGCAGAUUCCCUAAAAACAGCUUUUAAAGCUGAAGACAACUACUUUAUGUAGCAUGGCAAUUCGGCCAGCUACGUCGGCAAUUCCCCUUUUUUUUUCUUGGCAUGACAAUUCUCUCUGGUGCAACAUGGAAAAUCCUUGGAACGCAUGACAAUUCUCUCUGCUGCAGCAUGGCGAAGUUCAUGAAACACAUGACACUUUUCUCUGUUUAGCACAAUAAUUAUUUCUUCUUAGCAUGGCAAACCUCCAUGUUAUAGCAUGACAAUUCCUAGCCUCCUUUGGUUUGUAGGAAUCUUGUAGGAAUUUCAUAAGAUAGGAUUUUCGAAGGAAAAAUUCCCAUGGGGUCCUUUGGCCUAUUCCUAUGUAGGAUAGGAAUCAAUCUUUCACAUUUCAAAGGAUAAAAAACAUUAGCCUAGACUUAAUGGAAAAAUCCCUAUCCUAUGCAUCAAAUGACAUGCCUUUCUCUAUAGGAAUUGAGAUGCAUGUCAUCUCACUUCCUAUGAUUUUCCUGUUCCUAUGAUAUUUCUAUCCUAUGAACCAAAGGAGGCCUGAAUGUUUUCUGGAGUAGAUUUUUGAGAUAACACUCUGGGGUGGCGCCGUUCGCUCGAAUGAGCCUCCCUGAGGGCACGUCCGUUUAUGCCAGAGUUCUCCCGUAGGGAAUGUCAUCGCCUAUAAGGGUCUCAUAUGUGUGUGUUUAUACUCAAAACUUCUACUUCUAGUUGACACAUAUAUCUAACCAAACAAAGUCCGAUUGGUCAUCAAACAUUUUUUUUAUGUGGGGCAUCAAAUAUUUCAAUAGCAUUAGAAAGUAGAUAGUUCAAAUAUAGGGGGAGGAUGCUGUUGGCGUGGUUCCGCACACAUAUAUUAGAGCUCUUGCUGGAGGUACCAAUCUUGCAAGCUCCGCCUCUCCUCUAUAUCCAUGAGGAGCUUCAGUUACCAACCCAGCAAGUUCUUGGGACAGAGGUAGGUAGGCGUGGAGGCAAGAGGAGCUUCAGUUACCAACCCAGCAAGGUUGAUGUCUUGCUUGGGAGCAGAUGCUGAUUGGACUGAAGUUCCUACGGUGGAAAUUUUAGUUCUUUUCCUCUUAGGCUUAGGCAGUGGGGCUUUCUCUUGUGAACUAACAACUAUUUCUUGCUCAGGAAAAGAUCGUGCAUCCAUGUUAAUCUCUGAAUAAUGGACGCAUUCAAAUAUGUUCCUGAUGUCAUGAAGCAAACAAGCAAACAAGUUGAACACUGACAAGCUGAGCACAACAAGUGAUGAGUGGAUUUUACACUCAUAUUUUCUUGAAUUUUAAAAUGAAUAUUCUUAGAUAUUCUCUGCGAUUAUCUCUUCAAUUAACUAAUAUUCGCUAAUAAUUUGCAAAGGUGCGCAAAUCACCCUGCUUUAACUUUUUGUUGAAGAUAUGGAGAUAAUCCGGAGGAAAUAAAUACAUAAUCAGCAAGCACUUAAAAGUGGAUUAAACAUAGGAUUUAGUUUAUUUGAUUGCAUAAUAGAAAAACCAAAAUGCUUUUUCGAGAGGCUUGAGUGAAUGCAAAAUUCCCUAAAAUGUAAUACAAAUGAAUCCUUGAAAAAUCCUAUUACCUCCGUGGGAAAAUAAGUGACGUGGUUUUAGUUCAAAUUAAAACCACAUCACUUAUUUUCGAAGUGAGGGAGUAUAAGAUUCAAAAUCCUACCCCUCCAUCUCAAAAAUAAGUGCCUCAACUUUGUACUAACUUUAGUAUAAUUUUGUAAUAAAGUUGAGACACUUACUUUGAGACGGAUGGAGUAUUAAUCAAGCACAUGAUAGAACCCCAACUCUCCGGUAACUCUUACCAUGCCAUCACCUCCACCCUUCGCUCCUGCAACCCAAUCUCUCAUGUAACCCUAACCACGUCGUUACUACCGCCCCUCUUCUCCUUCUCCCCCUUGCCACCGCCAAGAAAAGCUUACUGGCAACUGGUGGCGCCGGUAUCCUCUUCUCAUGUGGCAGCAUCAGGAACUUUCAACAAGAUCUCAUGGGGGUUGCGCGUCCAAGCCUGCACGCGGCAGCUACAUCAUCCCAGAUGAGACUGCCCUAUGCGGAUGUGGACCGUGUCCCUAGAGUGUGCAGUGCUUGCUGAGCGGUCUAGGUGGUGGAUGCACGUGAUGGUGUGCUCAUACUUGGUCCGGCGGCACACUGUUCUAGUGGGGCUGAAGUUUAGUACUCCCUCCAUCCUAAAAUUCUUGUCUUAGAUUUGUCUAGAUACGGAUGUAUCUAAUGCUAAAAUAUGACUUGGUACAUCCGUAUUUAGACAAAUCUAAGACAAGAAUUUUGAGAUGGAGGAAGUAGUUAUUAAAUCGUUAGCACCACAUAAAAACAUUCCCCCUAGCCUUCUUCCCUAAUCAAAGAUUGGAGAAAGAAGAUCUAAGAGGGCGUGCCCCAUCCUACUCAGGUCAGAGCGUAAGCUAGUGAUGCUUUUGGCUACUAGACUUUAGUCAUCUAGGGUGCGGCACUCAGCCACUUCGCCUAGCAACACAACGACUGUAUUGCUCUCCCACAACUCCGUUUUCAUGGUUUAGGCUGCUUCCAUUUUCGCUCGCGUUGAAUUAAGAAUUCUCACAGUAACAAGGUCUACUCAAUGUUAAUUAGGCGUAAAUGAAACUUUAGCAAAAAUCUUGUAAAACAAAAAAAGGGAUAUUCAAUUACCCUAUGUUUGUUUUCAAAGCACAAAGAGUUCUUGACAAGAUUCGCUGGCGUUACUACAAAGAGAAUUAGCGAAUCCUAAGGCAAAGGGGCGAGAAACUCAAGGCCACUCUUCCUCCGGGCUUUCUUUCCGCACUGGUGAAAUAAAGUCGGGUGAAUUAGUCGAAUUUGCAGGGAUCUUGGCGGAGGCUUCCCGGAUAAAUAGUAACGAUCAGUCGAAGAACACCAUGCAUUGAUGGGUGUUGAAGAAAAAUUGAGCGUUUCUUGUCACAACCUUUCUUUGUGCGAUUGAUUUCCCAUUCUUCUUUGCUAGCACUUGACUCCUGAGAGCUGCAUCCGUGGGAUAUCUUCAACAAGGCAUGUUACUCGCGUCGUGAUUAUUGCUCGCCAUGCGACAUGACUCGCAUGUGAGACAUCCUAGCUUCCCAUUCGCAACUUCUAGCCUCGCCGACUCGGUGGUGGUCGGUUUGGUUGCCCUCUCGGAUGGCCCCCGACGGCAUAAGACGGCUUGAGGCGAUGUGUGUACAACUACUUGAGGAAGUGGUGAAGGUUGUGGAGCAUCAGUAGUCUUGAGCAUAGCCGUUGAGGGAAUCGCCUGAUCGGAUUUCUUACUCCUUGGUAUGUCGGACGGUGAUUUGCUGCCACAUGCGAGGAAAAUGGAGCAAGAGGUGAUGUAUGGUGGUGUUGUCUGUUAUAGAUUUGCCAUUAUUUGCCACCUCGAAGGUGGGAGGACGGCGAGGGAUGACCAAAGUGUCUCGAAUUGGGAUUUUGGCAGUGUUAAUGUCCUCCUCCCUUGUAUAUGGCUUCAUCGCGUGUGCCAUAAUGACCAUUCCUUGUGUCGCCCUUUGUGUGGUGAGUAGCUCUUUCAUGAUUGUAUUGUCCUCUUGUGCAUGCAUGUUCAUGUUUUGUGUGGAGUCUCACGCCAUGACCAUGCAUCGUAUCUUGAUCCUUGUAAUGCGGAAAGUGGAAGUGACAGCACAUGUCGACUUCUCGAGUAUCCGGUCUCGAGCUCUAGGUUGAAAACGUAGGUCUAACCUUAGUUGAGCAUACCUGACAAUAACAACGUUUUGCAUCGUUAACUUGUCAAAUGCUUUACUUGGAGCUUAUUUAGACUUGUUCUUUAGGUUGAAAAUGCACGAUCUAGCCUUUGAUGGUUGGAUUCGGGGAUAGUGGCGCUUGCACGUCAUUCCCUUUCUAAGACGUUGCUUUUUUAAGAAUCUUAUUCGUAGUCACUGUAUUGUCAAGAUAUGAUUGGUGCCGAUGGUCAUUGCUGGAUUUUGUCGAUCGCCGUUUUGAUCGCUUCGGGGGUCUUUUAUUUUUCUUUUUUCCGCCUUGGCAUAGCUUCGAUCAUGUAUGACUUUGAUCUUGUUGGUGAGAUCUUUUGUGUGUUAUCUCUUUGAUGCUUCAUUAUGAGUCAAUAAAAUCAUCAUUUGUCAAAAAAUCAAGCAUACUAUAUAAAAAAGUUUUCAAGGGAUUUUUCCCUUUUAAGCCGGUUUCCUGGGGAUUUCGAUUUUCUAAAUUCAUAAGAAGGUCCUUUGAAUCAAAUACGCCCUAAUUUUGAGAAGACGGUACGCUAUAUGGUAUCUUUUAAAAAAAAGGAAUCACCCCCGGCCUCUGCAUCUGGGUGAUGCAUGCGGCCAUAUUAUUUAUUAUCCACAAAGACCUUACAAAGUAAUACAACAGUAAGCCCAAAGCCAUCAUGUAGACGACACAUGUCGCUACUCCUAUCCUCUUGAUGAAGGGGUGCCGAAUGUCCGGGUCAAAUACCAAACAGACAUCACACGAAAGCCUAACAUCUAACGUUGGAUGCCCCAUCCAAGCAACAUAGGCGGGACUGGGUAACACUCCGGUCUGGCGCACUCUCAGUGAGUAUCACACGCACAUGCUGCAAAGGGCCGUCACCUCCGUCUUCCCUCGAUCCAUCCUCAAAGCAUUUACUGACACAUCGACCUUGUCGGGCUUCUCUGCCAUCGAUGCCACCACGACGCCAUACAACGUCGACCUCCUACGCAUGUCCCUCGCCACACAUCUGACGCCAAGCCUCCACUGCUCCAUGCCGUCGAGAACCGCUGCCAUGAAUAUGUAGAAAAAAACACCACUCCACCGUAGAUGCCAUCCGCUGGUCCCUCCAGCCCGAGUGCAUCUCCAAGAAUGCCGCCCCAAGGGGUAACGACACAUGAAUGCCGCCGUCAUCCGAUCAACUGAUCUAGGGUUUACCCCGGAGGUAUUGGGUGGGGUUGGGAGCUUCACCUCGAUGAUGCCUUCAUGAAGGAAAAAAUGAUAAGGACAUCGUCAUCACCGGCUCCGGCCAAUGACCGAAGACCAAGUUUUCACCCGGAUCCGUCCCAAAAAAUCCACCCGACAACCCGUGCACUGUCUCGACCGCCUUCAGAGCCCCAGAUCUAGCCGCCUAGAUCCGGCGACCAACCGCAACAACAGUGCCACCGUAGGAGCCCUGGCGCACCGGCCACUGCCUGAAUGCGCCACCACUGGAGCCUGGGAGGAGGGCUCCCACCCCACCUUGCCAAACCGCGAGAGCCGCCGAGAUGGAUCCGGUACGCUCAUCACCGUCUCUGAUCUGAACCAAUCCGUGGCAAAACCGCGAGAUCGCCGAUGCAGAUCCGCCUUGGAUAGGGACUGCACCACGCCAUGUCGCUGCGGAAAGCCCGAGCUUCACCCGCCGCCACCUUCCAACGCCGCCACCCCAGGGAUCCAGCCGCCACCGACAGGACGUGCCACCCACGUGCAGCAUGCGGGAGGAGCCCCUCGAUCCAGAUCUGAACCGAGAAGAUCACCACAGCCGCCCCCGUGCCGGCACGCCCCGCCUGGCCGCGAAUCUGCAGCCACCCGCGCCUUCGCGCCACAGAGCCGCCAUCCAGCCGCAGCCGCGCCACGCCGCCCUGCAUAGCUGCGCGCAUCCGCGCGAGGGCGCUAUCCCGCGCCUGCUCCACACCGCGCCGAACGGAGGAGGGCCCGCCGCCACCGACGUCGGCCGAGCUUUGCCCGGCAGCGUCAGGGAGGGGAAGGGGACGGUUUGGAGGCGGCGGCGCGUGCGUUCGCCCCCCGCCCCCUCGCGGGAGCGGGCUGGGCGAGACGUGCCACGCUAUAUGGUAUCUAAGCUUUGAAGGUAGGUUACACGAUUUCAUAUUACUAUUAUGGGGAUUCUAAUUCUAAUUCUCUUUGUAGUGCAGUAUUUGCAGUCCAGACUGUCUAGUGUGGUGAGCAUGCAAUGCACAGUGUGUAAUGAUUCAUAACUAAAUGACACUGGAAGGUAGUAAGUGGUAAUAACUAGACAUCGUUGUCUAUUCUAAAUUUCUACCGAACAGUAGAGUGCUGGCAGUAGCAAUAGUGGUGCAAGUUAACGAUCUCUUUCAGCUGGUAUAAUUGGGCAUGCAGGCUAACUGUCCCUGCCAGGCGCAGGUGAUUGAGUACCUCCGCCUGGGUUUAUUAAUCCUCACCUAGUCAUAUUUUGAUCAUAAAUUCAACUAAUAAAUUACAGGUUUUAUGUAGUAAGAUAAUAGCAUUCAAAACCCUUUUCGAAUACAAAUCUAGCGAUAUAAAGUUUAUGGUAUUUAACUUAAUUUUAUUAGUUAAAUUUAUGAUCAAAUUUUGAUCACUUACUACCUUUCAGUGCAUAACGGACGGCUAAAGCGUGCAGAUAAUAUCAAAAGAGGUCGGGGUAGACCGAAUUUGACAUGGGAAGAGUCCAUAAAAGGAGAUAUGAAGGAUUGGAGUAUCACCAAAGAACUAGGCAUGUACAGGGGUGCUUGGACGAUUGCUAUCCAUGUGCGAGAAUCAUUAGUUGGUCGCGAGAUCUUAUGAGUUUCACCUCUAGCCUACCCCAACUUGUUUGGGACCAAAGGCUUUGUUGUUGUUGUUGUUGUUGUUGUUGUUGUUGUUGUUGUUGUUGUUGUUGUUGUUGUUGUUGUUGUUGUUGUUUUGACCAUAAAUACGAGAGGGGACUUAUAAACCUUGACAGAGGAAGUACUAUAUGGACGCCAUGGCACUAGCGCACACAGGCGCGCAUGGAUGCGUCGGACUCAACAACGACGAACUUACGUCGUUAUCUUAUUGAAGGUGUAGUCUCUUUGCCAAGGUGUAAUGUGUUGGCUUUCAUUGGUUGGUCUUGAUAAUCAGGAUGAAAAUCCUUGUCCUUAGUGUUUUUAGCAGAAGUAAAGACAAAUGUGUUAAAUCGUGUAUCGCUUCUUGCAGGCGUUGUUAUGGAAAAUAUUUCGAUUUGGCCAUAGGUGUUAAAUUCAAAUCUUGCUUUUAGUGUACUGCAUGGUUUUCUCUAAUUUCUCGUGUAUUGCACGUGUCGUCUAGGUGUGUUAUGUAAGGUGAGCAAAAUGUAUUGCAUUUUGUGAAAGUGACUACCUCAUAGAGUACGUCUACAGAAAAGUACAAGUACACUACAAUAUGAAAUACAAAUACACUACGGUAGGAAGUACAAAUACAACACACACGGGGAAGUACAAAUAUACUACAAAGAACUACAAGUGCACUAGUGAGAAAGUAGAAGGACACUACACACUUGGAAGUGAAAGUAUACUACCGCAAGAAUUCAAGGACACUAUGUGAGUAGUUACAAAUAUACUGCAGUUGUAACUUAAAGUUGCAUCCAAAAAUGUUGGCAAAAUCUAUUAAUGUAAAUGGGCGUAUGGUCCCAAAGAUGUUUUGAUUAAAACUUAGAUCUUGCUAAUUGUCCAUGCUUUACAACAGGGCCAAAUAUAUUUUACUGGUUCACAUCAAUUGUGAAACGCAUAUACUUUCAUCCACUAUCUUCGCGUCCCCAAUACAACCUUAUCACCUAUGUCAAUGGCUCAUGCCACUCACAAACACUUUGGAUUUUAAACACAUAAUUGUGUAGUUGUGUAUAUGUGAAAAUUUUACCCGCAAAAACAAAGUGUAUAUGUGAAGAUUUCAAGAAGGAAAAAACCAAUACAUAAGGGGUCGUCAAUACCCACCUAGCCUCUGGCGACGAUAGGAUGAAAGGAAAAAAGAACGAAGACAUAGGAACCUAAUCUUGGUCUAGCAAAAGAAAAGGUAGAGAAAACAUGAGCUCGCUACACCGUAGAACAAAGAUUCUAUGGUUUCAGCUCAUAAGUGGACCCGAAGAUAUGGUAGAAAUCAUAUCGAAAGGAAGUGUGCCUCUUGAACAACUCACGGUGAAUAACAGUAUUAAGUUAAUUGGUAGUUAAAUGCUCUGAUAACCGAUUUCCUUUUAUAUUCUUAUGGACAUUACAUUUUAUGACAUUCUUCUUAAAAGCUGGUCUUUGCAUAGAACAUUUGCCUUUUCACAACAUUGAUGGGUCGCUAGGUCUUGGGAUUACUCGUAAGAAGAUUUAUAGUAGUAUAAAAUAAUACAAUAAUGGAUUAGACGGGACCAGGCCGGAUAUGUUAUUUCCAUGCAUGUGUUCCCAUAUUAGCGAUGGAAGGAGAUAUGUUGUCAUACAAAUAUAAUUACUCCCUCCGUUCCAAAAUAGAUGACUCAACUUUGUACUAAACUUAAUACAAAAUUGAGUCAUCUAUUUUGAAACGAAGGGAGUAGAUAGUAGGCUUCCAAUUUGCCAAACAAAAAAAAAGAUUAGUUUUCACAUUACUCAAAGAAGGCAAUGUGAUGACAGGAAAAUAAAACAGAAAACAAAUAAGUGGGAGGGGGUGAGAGUUGAUGAGAGAUGUGAUGUCGGCAAAAUAAAAUUGAAAAUAAAUCGGUGGGAUUAAUACGUUUCCAGUUUUCCAAACGAAAAAGGGAUUAGUUUUUAUAUUAUUCAAGGAAAGAGAUGUGAUGUAGGGCAAGUAAAAUUGAAAAUAAAUCAAUGGAAGGGGGUGGUAGCAAACGGGUGUACCAACUCUUGUUUUAAAUAGCAUCGUUUAGUAGCAAGUAGGAUGUCUAGAAUGUUUUCGUGCGAACAAAAAAAAAACAC